UUGCGUGCGCAGAUCGACUGCUGUUCAUCAGCAGUUCGGAUCUCGUACCGUCAUCAUGUCUGGGGUGUCUGAUAAGGAAGAAGACAGGGCAUUUCAAUUAGAGUGUAUCGAGGUUUACAAAAGUUUACCAGCCCUGUGGAAAGUGAAGUGUAACGAUUACAGCAACCGACAAAAGAAAGAUGCAGCUUACGGAGCAUUGAUUAAAAAAUUCCAGGAAAAGUACCAAAACUAUACAAGAGAAGAUGUAAAAAAAAAGAUCAAUGUCUACAGAACAAAUUAUCGCAAGGAAUUAAAGAAAGUGCUUGACUCGGAAAAUCUGGUGCAGGGACGGACCAGGUCUAUGAACCAACUUUGUGGUAUUUCGAUGCCCUCGCCUUCCUCAACGACCAAGAAGUCCCAGCCAAAUCACGGAGUAGGCCGACACUAAAACGUCUGGCAUCGACUGAAGACGUCAGCGAACCUUCUCAGGAGGAUGAUACGGCUGAUGUGAAAACAGACGUUCAGAACUACAACGUGUUUGUAGAGCCACAGUUACAACUGAGGAAGGAAUCUCUCCAGACUCCUGCCAAACGGACGAAAUCGAGAAGUUCAGUUAAAAAUGAUGCCAAAGAAGAGCUCCUGCAGCUUGCCACUGAACGACUACGCCAAGAUCACGAAGAUGUAAAUCUUAUCCAAGCAAAGACAUGGGCAGCUGAACUCUCAAAGAUGACUCUUGACCAACAGCUGUUCGCGAAGAAAGCUAUCAAUGAUAUACUUUUUGAGGGACAGAUGGGUACAUUGAAAAGGGAUUCGGUCAAAAUAAACGAUGACAAUUGGAUGCAGUGAUUUCUUCGUUUGCAGCAAUUUUAUUUUUCCUAAAUAGGAUACCUGUAUUAUAGUAUUAUAGUUAAAGACGACUAAACUUUGACAUUAUUGUAAAGUGUUCUUUUUCCCGUCAUUUCAUUUUUUGUUCUCUUUUUAAUUAAACCUUGAUUAGGUUAUAAAUUUGAA